AUUGUUCCUCACGUUUUCCCUUUUGAGGAGAGAUUGUAAAUGGUCAUGAAGUUUUGAGCAAAUUUGUUGGGGAAAUUGAAAAGAAUGUGAGAGACCUUUUUGCUGACGCCGAACAGGAUCAGAGGACCCGAGGGGAUGAAAGUGAUUUGGAUGUUAUAAUCUUUUAUGAAAUUGAUGCUAUUUGCAAGG